AAGAAUGUUUCCAUUAAUCAAGAACGAAAGUUAGAGGUUCGAAGGCGAUCAGAAUACCGCCCUAGUUCUAACCAUAAACGAUGCCAGCCAGCGAUCCGGCUGUGUUCCUCAAAUGACACGCCGGGCAGCUUCCGGGAAACCAAAGCUUUUGGGUUCCGGGGGGAGUAUGGUUGCAAAGCUGAAACUUAAAGGAAUUGACGGAAGCGCACACAAUGGAAUGGGGCCUGCGGCUUAAUUUGACUCAACACGGGACAUCUCACCCGGCCCGGACACAAGAAGGAUUGACAGAUUAAGAGCUCUUUCUUGAUUUUGUGAUAGGUGGUGCAUGGCCGUUUCUGGUUGGUGGAGUGAUUUGUCUGCUUAAUUGCGUUAACGAGCGAGACUCUAGCCUACUAAAUAGACGCUCCGAUCCUUCUGAGUCGG
rnacentral:rRNA from 1 species